AAUUACUAAUAAGUUUCCAACAAAAUGGGCACACUCGAUAAUAUCGUGAUAAAGAAAUAUUGUCAAGGGAAAUUAUCACAAAUAUACCUUAAUUUUAGUCUACUUAGAAAAAAAAAAACUCAACUUUCAUAAACAGCUCUCAUACCCUUUUUAUUCAAUUUUGGGAGUUUUUUUUAGAGUUUUUUUGUCUAUUUAGAAAGAAAAAAACCUCGUGCACACCCUUUUUGUUCAAUUUUGAGAGUUUUUUUUAGAAUUUGUUUUUACCAAAAUAACCUACCAGUACUUUAAUUACGCAAUUUUAAUUACUGUAAACCCAAAGCCAUGUAAACCCACCAUGUUACCCUUGUUAUACUUAAAAACUAACCCAUGUUAUACGACACUUACGGUAAAUCAUUUAUAUUUAUUUCUUUCAUCCCAUUUUCUCUUUUGGUUUAUAUUUAUCUCUUUCAUCUGUCUUUCAUCUCUCUAAUUCUUUUUAUGUUUAUCUUUUUUUU
rnacentral:lncRNA from 1 species